GAUGAACGCUGGCGGCGUNNNAAUACAUGCAAGUCGAGCGAACAGACAAGGAGCUUGCUCCUUUGACGUUAGCGGCGGACGGGUGAGUAACACGUGGGUAACCUACCUAUAAGACUGGGAUAACUUCGGGAAACCGGAGCUAAUACCGGAUAAUAUUUCGAACCGCAUGGUUCGAUAGUGAAAGAUGGUUUUGCUAUCACUUAUAGAUGGACCCGCGCCGUAUUAGCUAGUUGGUAAGGUAACGGCUUACCAAGGCGACGAUACGUAGCCGACCUGAGAGGGUGAUCGGCCACACUGGAACUGAGACACGGUCCAGACUCCUACGGGAGGCAGCAGUAGGGAAUCUUCCGCAAUGGGCGAAAGCCUGACGGAGCAACGCCGCGUGAGUGAUGAAGGUCUUCGGAUCGUAAAACUCUGUUAUUAGGGAAGAACAUACGUGUAAGUAACUAUGCACGUCUUGACGGUACCUAAUCAGAAAGCCACGGCUAACUACGUGCCAGCAGCCGCGGUAAUACGUAGGUGGCAAGCGUUAUCCGGAAUUAUUGGGCGUAAAGCGCGCGUAGGCGGUUUUUUAAGUCUGAUGUGAAAGCCCACGGCUCAACCGUGGAGGGUCAUUGGAAACUGGAAAACUUGAGUGCAGAAGAGGAAAGUGGAAUUCCAUGUGUAGCGGUGAAAUGCGCAGAGAUAUGGAGGAACACCAGUGGCGAAGGCGACUUUCUGGUCUGUAACUGACGCUGAUGUGCGAAAGCGUGGGGAUCAAACAGGAUUAGAUACCCUGGUAGUCCACGCCGUAAACGAUGAGUGCUAAGUGUUAGGGGGUUUCCGCCCCUUAGUGCUGCAGCUAACGCAUUAAGCACUCCGCCUGGGGAGUACGACCGCAAGGUUGAAACUCAAAGGAAUUGACGGGGACCCGCACAAGCGGUGGAGCAUGUGGUUUAAUUCGAAGCAACGCGAAGAACCUUACCAAAUCUUGACAUCCUUUGACAACUCUAGAGAUAGAGCCUUCCCCUUCGGGGGACAAAGUGACAGGUGGUGCAUGGUUGUCGUCAGCUCGUGUCGUGAGAUGUUGGGUUAAGUCCCGCAACGAGCGCAACCCUUAAGCUUAGUUGCCAUCAUUAAGUUGGGCACUCUAAGUUGACUGCCGGUGACAAACCGGAGGAAGGUGGGGAUGACGUCAAAUCAUCAUGCCCCUUAUGAUUUGGGCUACACACGUGCUACAAUGGACAAUACAAAGGGCAGCGAAACCGCGAGGUCAAGCAAAUCCCAUAAAGUUGUUCUCAGUUCGGAUUGUAGUCUGCAACUCGACUACAUGAAGCUGGAAUCGCUAGUAAUCGUAGAUCAGCAUGCUACGGUGAAUACGUUCCCGGGUCUUGUACACACCGCCCGUCACACCACGAGAGUUUGUAACACCCGAAGCCGGUGGAGUAACCAUUUGGAGCUAGCCGUCGA
rnacentral:rRNA from 1 species